AGUUAAAGUACGUUAUUGCAAAUGUAUAUGUAAACAAUUGGUACUGUGAAUAAGCAGUCGGCAGUGCAAAUCAAUAAUCAGUCAAGGUGAGUAGUGCAAGAUGCAUGUAAACAGUUGUUACAAUAGUAACAGUCAGGAGCGAAGGUGAACAUUACAGUCUUGUAAUAAACAGAAUAGCAAAAUGGUGGUAGGUGUGAGGAAGGAGAGUAGAGUCUAUCAGUGAGGGUCAGAGUUCAGUAAAGAGACAGCUCUGGGGAAAAAGCUGUUCUUUUAUCUGCUGGUUCUGGUCCGGAGGCACCUGAAACGCCUGCCGGAGGGCAGGAGAGAAACAGUCUGUGGUCUGGGUGGGAUGAGUCCUUAAGAAUGCUGCAGGCUCGAUGUAGGCAGCGUCUCUCUUGGAUGUGCUUCUGUUUCUCACCAGAUUAGACUCACCAUUUACAACUGAUCUGGAAGUCCUCCUGCAUACUGGAUGUUUGGCCUUCUUCCCCUGGAAGGAUUGUUUGCUGAGUUCACACUGAGCAGGGGAGAAAUCUCCACAUGUGCCGUUCAAGUCCCUAACGUAAAUCCAAGUGACAGUCUGCUCCAGUGCUCCUCCGGGUCGAGAGAAUGUCUACCUGUCCACUCUUCAACAUGUUCCCUCCUCUCUGAUCAACCCACACAGGCUGGAUGCUUGUGAGAGAAGAACCCCCCUAAUACAUCCAAGUUCCUGUUCACCAGCUACCUGAGUUCCAGAUCACACUUCCCCUCUACCCUCAUCCCAAUAAACCUGUUAAACCUUU